CGCGCAGCUUGACAGUUCUUUUUCUGUGGACUACAGCUCCCACGUUGCUUAGGGUUGCACGAGGCUGAGAGUAUUGUACUAAUGUAAGAAUUGGUCAUCAUAGUCUUCAUCCUUCAUUCCUUUGAGCCGAAGCCUGGCGAAGUCCUCAAACACAAUGUCAUCAUCUGUGCCAUAGCUGGGGAAGGAAGUGAGGGAGGGCAUGAGACAGCAGCUCCAGGUUUCCCCACCUCUCCAACCAAAAGAGAGAGAGAAGCAAGAGUGCUGCUGGCAUCACAGACAACAUGAAGAUUUAGCAGUGAUGGUGGGACUGAGCUGCUGGGAAGCCUCUUCACUAAGCCAGAAGCUGAAAUAAGGGUACUAAAUGAGAGGCUGUAAUAGAGACCAUCUGGGAUUUCAAUCUAUGGCCCACUGUCUGCCUGAGGGGAAAGAAGAUAAUCCCUCUGAUAUACCUCAACUUGGCAGUUGCUGAAAUCAAGAUUGUUGUGACAACAACCCUAUGAGUUCUAAAUUUUAUGAUCCUGUCAUCUUAAGAGGCCCCAGGAUGGUAUCUACCUGGAUGCUGGUUACUGGGGCAAAAGCCCUUGCCCAGGAGAGAAUUCUGGGUCCAACUUUGAGAGCCGGUACUAUUUUUCGUUUGUGAUUUUGUAUCUAUCAGCUCUGAGCAUAAUGCUUUAUGGCAUAAAGGAGCUUAAUAAACAUUUAUUGAGUUGA